GACGAACGCUGGCGGCGUGCUUAACACAUGCAAGUCGAACGGUGAAGCGCCUUCCUUUUUGGUUUGUGUGGAUGAGUGGCGAACGGGUGAGUAACACGUGAGUAACCUGCCCCCUUCUUCUGGAUAACCGCGUGAAAGUGUGGCUAAUACGGGAUAUUCUGUGUCUGUCGCAUGAUGGGUCUGGGAAAGAUAUUGUUUCGGUGGGGGAUGGGCUCGCGGCCUAUCAGCUUGUUGGUGGGGUGAUGGCCUACCAAGGCGGUGACGGGUAGCCGGCCUGAGAGGGUGGACGGUCACACUGGGACUGAGACACGGACCAGACUCCUACGGGAGGCAGCAGUGGGGAAUAUUGCACAAUGGGCGCAAGCCUGAUGCAGCGACGCCGCGGGAGGGAUGGAGGCCUUCGGGUUGUGAACCUCUUUCGCCAGUGAAGCAGGCCUGCCUCGUUUGUGGGUGGGUUGACGGUAGCUGGAUAAGAAGCGCCGGCUAACUACGUG
rnacentral:rRNA from 1 species